GAUGAACGCUGGCGGCGUGCCUAAUACAUGCAAGUCGAGCGAACGGACGAGAAGCUUGCUUCUCUGAUGUUAGCGGCGGACGGGUGAGUAACACGUGGAUAACCUACCUAUAAGACUGGGAUAACUUCGGGAAACCGGAGCUAAUACCGGAUAAUAUUUGAACCGCAUGGUUCAAAAGUGAAAGACGGUCUUGCUGUCACUUAUAGAUGGAUCCGCGCUGCAUUAGCUAGUUGGUAAGGUAACGGCUUACCAAGGCAACGAUGCAUAGCCGACCUGAGAGGGUGAUCGGCCACACUGGAACUGAGACACGGUCCAGACUCCUACGGGAGGCAGCAGUAGGGAAUCUUCCGCAAUGGGCGAAAGCCUGACGGAGCAACGCCGCGUGAGUGAUGAAGGUCUUCGGAUCGUAAAACUCUGUUAUUAGGGAAGAACAUAUGCGUAAGUAACUGUGCACAUCUUGACGGUACCUAAUCAGAAAGCCACGGCUAACUACGUG
rnacentral:rRNA from 1 species